rnacentral:lncRNA from 1 species
AAAUUUAAUAUACAUAACACUACAUAAACAAUUUUAAUUUUAAUUAUAUUAAAUAUAUUGAUAUAUAUCUAUUUUACAUUAUUUAAAUUUUUCUUAACUGUUUAAUUCCGCACUUUAGAUUUUCACCAAUCAACACAAUUCUGCACCGCUAAUUUUAUCAAAACCGCACUUAUCCCGCAAAACGCACGAACCGCAGUUGAACCGUCCCGCAC